GUGGUAAUGCGGUAUUUUGGCAACUCUGCAUGACCCUAGGAGGCUUGGCUCGGUUUACAAAUUUGACAAGUACUGUACGCGAGACCUCAAACCUUCCAUUACCAUAACUGACAAUGACCCCCAUAGAAGAAAAGUACUGUAUGCAGGUUCUUGGUUUGGUUGAGGUGCUUGAACAUUGCUUGUCAUAAGGAUUAAACUUUCCGCCAGCAAUAUUCCACACAUAUACGCAGUGACCAUUUUGUCCGUGACCAGUACCUAAUGGUCAUAUUCUUCAUAAUUUGGAAGUUGAUGUACAAUAAUGACUUAAAUUACAAGUGUUCAAAAUAAGAUGGAUAGGAGUGCCCCAGAUAUGCUGAUGGACACAGAAGUUUGUCCAAGCAAGCCAAGCUAUAACUGCCACCAUACACACACUGUAGAUAAAGGUAAGUGAAUGUUAAAAUGUUUUC
rnacentral:lncRNA from 1 species